CGUGUUUUCAGUCAAAAGCAUACGAAAAACACCGUUCGAAAGUAGAAAAAUAAAUAUUUUUGCGAAGUUGCUCAACCAAUCUUCAUUUUGGGACUCAAAUUUGAAAGAUAAAUGGUAAGUGGUUAUUUUUAUGUAAAAAGAUAUACGUUUAUAGGCUAAAUACAAAGAAAAAAAAUAUAAUACAAUUUACAAUCUCGGUGCUUGUGAUGUUCUUGCCAAGAAGCAGAUUCCCAUUUCGCUAAAUUAAUGCGGGCCAAACGUAUUGCUUUCCUGUCUUUUACAUUAAUAAGAAAUCAUAGGUGCUGAUUUGAAACACGUCCAUCAGGUUCCAUGCAUGUAGCUUUGCGAUUUGUGAGCAAAAAUUAAAAGUUAAACUACCUAUGUUUUUAAUACUUUCUGUGCAACUAAUAACCACAUUCACAAAUAUAUUCUCCAGCAAAGAAACGUUUCUUUACGGAUUGUCACAUGCAGAAUAGCAGAGACUACUGUCAUUGACAUCCUUUGUCACAAAAUUAUGAUGGCAUAUUGGACAGCUAUGUUGGAUAAGGCACUUCCUUAAUAAAUAGCCUGACACAUAAGUUCAUGUAGACUAAGUUUUGUUCAAUUUCAUUUGUUUUGUAGUCGGUAUCUUCAACUGCUUGGAUUAGUGGUGGGCUUGUCUGAUCAUUUCCUGCAGAUAAAUCAGAUUGGCUAGGGUGAAAUGCAAUCAAAUAGGCAUCAGAAUCUUCAGCACAGGUGCCAAUUGAAAGUGGUGUCAAAAUAUUAUCUACAAAUAAUAUUCAAAAUGCUCUGGUGAACUGGAUGGAACUAGUUGGUUGUCACAAUUCCCCCCCCCCCCCUGCUGCCUAAUGAGGCCAAAGAAGUUCUCCAGAGGAUCUUGGUUGAGACAUCUUGUCAUGAGAAACUCCAAGGAAUGAUGUUGGUUUAUAAGGUCUUGAAAUGUAAAUACUACAGUGUAAUUACUACUGACAGUGUAAAUACUACAACAGUGAAAUGUAAAUGCAACAGUGUAAUUGGGUUUAAAAAUACAAAGUUUAUUUU